GCUAGGUGAGAGGCAGGAUCAGACAGGCAAUCAUCAACAACAUACUCUGAAUUUAAGAAUGACCACCACACAGUAAGAGAACUGGAAUUUGGAGGAAAACUUCAGCUCUGAGAACUUUCACACAGAAAACUAACAAAGAAAUUCUGGACUUAAACUUGACACUUGCCCAGUUGGUCUUAAUAGACAUCUAAAGAAUACUCCACCCAACAACUACAGAAUAUAUAUUCGUCUCAUCUGCAGACACAACAUACUUUAAAAAUGACUGCAUGUUUGGUCAGAGAGUCUCAACAAAUUUGGAAAAAUUAAAAUUAUACCCAACAUAUUCUCAGGUCGAAUGAAAUGCAAAUAGAAAUUACUGCCAAGAGGAAUUCUCAAAACCACACAAAUACGUGGAAAUUAAACACAUUGAUCCUGAAUGACCUUUGUAAAGCAAGAAAAUUAAGGCAAAAAUCAAAAAAUUAUUUGAAAAAAACAAAAAUUGUGACACAGUGUAACAAAACCUGUGAUAUUGCAAAAGAAGUGAUAAGAUUUGUAGCACUAAAUGCCUACAUCAAGAAAAUAGAAAUAUCUUGUUAACAACCUAACAUUACACCUAAAGAAAUAGAGAAAGAAGAACUAAAUUCUAAAUGAAGAACCCAGUUCUAGCAGAAGAAAAGAAAGAAUUAAAAUCAGAACAGAACUAAGUGAAAUUGAGAUAAAGAAAACUAUUCAAAGGAUCAACAAAAUGAAAAGUUUGUUUUUUGAAAGGAUAAACAAAAUUGAUAGACUGCUAGAUAAACAAAGGAAAAAAAGAAGAUCCAAAUAAGCACAAUCAGAUAUGACAAAGGUAACAUUACAACUGAUCUCGCAGAAAUAUAAAAGAUCCUCAGAGAUUACUAUGAACAUCUCUAUGCACACAACUAGAAAAUCUAGAGGAAAUAGAUAAAUUCCUGGAAAUAUACAACCUCCCAAGAUUGAAUCUGGAAGAAAAAGACACCCUAAAGAGACCAGUAAUGAGUUACAAAAUUGAAUAAGUAAUAAUAAAAAACUUACUAACCAGAAAAGCACCGGACCAGAUGGAUUUACAGCCAAAUUAUACCAGAUGUACAAAGAAGAUCCCAUCAAGAGGUGCAAAAACAAGCUAUGAUUUGCUGACACAUAUCUAUCAAAGGACUCACGUCUAGAAUAUAUAUUGCAGUGUAAAAUGAUGCAACAUUUCUGGAAAACAGGAGCUCUUCCACAAUUAUACAGUUGGAAUCACUCAUUCGAUUUUGUGGCCAG
rnacentral:lncRNA from 1 species